rnacentral:rRNA from 1 species
AGUUUGAUCAUGGCUCAGAUUGAACGCUGGCGGCAUGCCUUACACAUGCAAGUCGAACGGUAACGGGCCUUCGGGUGCCGACGAGUGGCGAACGGGUGAGUAAUGCAUCGGAACGUACCUUUCAGUGGGGGAUAACGUAGCGAAAGUUACGCUAAUACCGCAUAUUCUGUGAGCAGGAAAGCAGGGGAUCGCAAGACCUUGCGCUGAUUGAGCGGCCGAUGUCAGAUUAGCUAGUUGGUGAGGUAAAGGCUCACCAAGGCGACGAUCUGUAGCGGGGUCUGAGAGGAUGAUCCGCCACACUGGAACUGAGACACGGUCCAGACUCCUACGGGAGGCAGCAGUGGGGAAUUUUGGACAAUGGGGGCAACCCUGAUCCAGCCAUGCCGCGUGAGUGAAGAAGGCCUUCGGGUUGUAAAGCUCUUUCGGCCGGGAAGAAAUCGCAUGGGUUAAUACCCUGUGCGGAUGACGGUACCGGCAUAAGAAGCACCGGCUAACUACGUG